rnacentral:rRNA from 1 species
CUCAGAGGGGACAAUUGGAAACUGCUCAACUUCGCAAACAUUGUUUUGUUGCCAAAGAUUGAUUCGUCCAGAAGUGCUUCUCACUUUUGGCCAGUGAGCUUAAUUCACAGUUUUGCAAAAAAUUUAUGCAAGUUGCUGGCAAAUCGGCCGGGACCGGAGCUUGAAAAGCUGAUAUCCUGCUCUCAGAGUGCUUUCAUUCGUGGGAGAUCCAUCCAAGACAAUUUCCUCUAUGUCCAGAACACUAUCAAACUUGCACACAAAAAGAAUAUCCCCCUCGUCUUCCAGAAGCUUGAUUUCGCAAAGGCGUUUGACUCAGUCCUUUGGCCAUACUUGAUUUAUGUCAUGAAGGCUUAUAGGUUUGGACAAGAGACAUUUUACGGUGCAUCAUACUCCUGUAAAUAG